rnacentral:lncRNA from 11 species
CAGCUGAGUCACCAACAGAGUGAGGGCUCUCGCUGUUCUUAUUUACCAGGAGCCAAGAGCUCAGGAAAGUUAAUUUUGGGGACCGAGAAAACCCAAAUCCCCAAUUUUCUGGAAUUUCCAAAGUCAGUUUACAUUACCUGUUGACAUAGGGCAUGACCAUGAAUUUCAUGAGCAACAGAUACUCAAGCAUAAUCAGUUUGUGCAAACUGUGUUCAAAGUGCAAAAGUGGUUCGAAAUGAACUCAGUUCAGCAAGGACGAAAGCAGAGGAGAUGAGAGUGGAAUUUUAUUGGGUGGCUCUUCUAAGAGAGGAUGUAUUGAAAUGGAGGACAAACUUUUAGAGCAGGCUAUUUGGAUGAGAAGAAAGAAGAAAAAGAACGGCAAAGCAUUUCAAGAUUAAUGCAGAGGAAAAAGAGGUGUCCAACACAGCCAUAGUUUCAAUGAUCUCUUUCUUCGAGGUGUCUUGAAGAGAGCCAAGGUACUACGUGACAAAUAAACUGGGAAAUUGCAUGUGCUGCAGCACAGACAAUAUUUCUGGUCACCUUUCCUCCCAUGGUUGUCUCUGAGGACCCCUUGAAUCUUGUCCCUAUUGAAACAGCAGGAUGUAUGGAGAGCAUGUGAUGUGAACUGCCUGUGGAUGAUGGGAUAUGUAGCUCUGGGGGGUAUUUGUUUGAUCAAAGAUGGGCUGGCAUCCUGUACUCAUUUGAGAUAUACUAGAAACUAUAA